rnacentral:tRNA from 1 species
AUCUAAAUAGUUUAAUAAGAAUAGUAAUUUGUGGAAUUACUGGUGCAUUUAUUGCUUUGGAUC